UUGAUUUCGUAGGCUAACCAGCCUCCUUUCUUCUUCGCUCUAUUCAGCCAUUUCUUUUUCUUCUUAUUUUCCAGAACGGCCUCGGACACAGCGCGAUUACGAGUACAGCUUCGCAUUCAAGAUGUUCCUCUUCACCUUCCUCAACAACUACUCGUCCCUCAUUUACAUCGCCUUCUUCAAAGGAAGGUUUUCAGGCGAUCCGGGACGCGAGGCGCAUUGGGGAGACUACACUCUGGAUAAGUGCGAAGGCGGUUGCCUAUACGAAGUCUUCGUCCAGCUCGCUACCGUCAUGUUGGGCCAGCAAUUCAUUAGGACCGGGAACAGCGUUGUUGUACCG